AGUCGAGGGGCAGCAUUUCAGUUUGCUUGCAAACUGGAGAUGGCGACCGGCGCACGGGUGAGUAACACGCUAUCCAACCUGCCGAUAACUCGGGGAUAGCCUUUCGAAAGAAAGAUUAAUACCCGAUGGNAUAAUCAGACCGCAUGGUCUUNUUAUUAAAGAAUUUCGGUUAUCGAUGGGGAUGCGUUCCAUUAGGCAGUUGGUGAGGUAACGGCUCACCAAACCUUCGAUGGAUAGGGGUUCUGAGAGGAAGGUCCCCCACAUUGGAACUGAGACACGGUCCAAACUCNUACGGGAGGCAGCAGUGAGGAAUAUUGGUCAAUGGGCGCAGGCCUGAACCAGCCAAGUAGCGUGAAGGAUGACUGCCCUAUGGGUUGUAAACUUCUUUUAUAUGGGAAUAAAGUUUUCCACGUGUGGAAUUUUGUAUGUACCAUAUGAAUAAGGAUCGGCUAACUCCGUGCCAGCAGCCGCGGUAAUACGGAGGAUCCGAGCGUUAUCCGGAUUUAUUGGGUUUAAAGGGAGCGUAGGUGGACAGUUAAGUCAGUUGUGAAAAGUUUGCGGCUCAACCGUAAAAUUGCAGUUGAUACUGGCUGUCUUGAGUACAGUAGAGGUGGGCGGAAUUCGUGGUGUAGCGGUGAAAUGCUUAGAUAUCACGAAGAACUCCGAUUGCGAAGGCAGCUCACUGGACUGCAACUGACACUGAUGCUCGAAAGUGUGGGUAUCAAACAGGAUUAGAUACCCUGGUAGUCCACACAGUAAACGAUGAAUACUCGCUGUUUGCGAUAUACAGUAAGCGGCCAAGCGAAAGCAUUAAGUAUUCCACCUGGGGAGUACGCCGGCAACGGUGAAACUCAAAGGAAUUGACGGGGGCCCGCACAAGCGGAGGAACAUGUGGUUUAAUUCGAUGAUACGCGAGGAACCUUACCCGGGCUUAAAUUGCAUUUGAAUAUUUUGGAAACAGUAUAGCCGCAAGGCAAAUGUGAAGGUGCUGCAUGGUUGUCGUCAGCUCGGGCCGUGAGGUGUCGGCUUAAGUGCCAUAACGAGCCCAACCCUUAUCUUUAGUUACUAACAGGUCAUGCUGAGGACUCUAGAGAGACUGCCGUCGUAAGAUGUGAGGAAGGUGGGGAUGACGUCAAAUCAGCACGGCCCUUACGUCCGGGGCUACACACGUGUUACAAUGGGGGGUACAGAAGGCAGCUACCUGGUGACAGGAUGCUAAUCCCAAAAGCCUCUCUCAGUUCGGAUCGAAGUCUGCAACCCGACUUCGUGAAGCUGGAUUCGCUAGUAAUCGCGCAUCAGCCAUGGCGCGGUGAAUACGUUCCCGGGCCUUGUACACACCGCCCGUCAAGCCAUGAAAGCCGGGGGUACCUGAAGUACGUAACCGCAAGGAGCUCCUAGG
rnacentral:rRNA from 1 species